rnacentral:rRNA from 1 species
CUGGUUGAUUCUGCCAGUAGUCAUAUGCUUGUCACAAAGACUAAGCCAUGCAUGUCUAAGUAUAAACUAAUUAUACGGUGAAACUGCGAAUGGCUCAUUAAAUCAGUUAUAGUCUACUUGAUCGUAAAUUCUACUUGGAUAACCGUAGGAAAUCUAGGGCUAAUACAUGCUAAAAGCCGCGACUACCUCCGGGUUGGAAGCGGUGAAUUUAUUAGAUUAAAAACCAAUGGCGGGGGCAACCUCGUCAACCCUAGGCGAUUCAUGAUAACGCAUCUGAUCGGCGGCUAGUCCGCCGACGAUACAUACGAAUUUCUGCCCUAUCAACUUUCGAUGGUUGGAUAGAGGCCAACCAUGGUCGUAACGGGUAACGGAGAAUUAGGGUUCGGUUCCGGAGAUGGAGCCUGAGAGAUGGCUACAACUUCCACGGAAGGCAGCAGGCGCGCAAAUUACCCAAUCCCAAUACGGGGAGGUAGUGACAUGAAAUACCGAUGCGUGGCCCUAUUGGGUCGCGACGUUGGAAUGAGUACAAUUUAAAUCCCUUAACGAGGAACAAUUGGAGGACAAGUCUGGUGCCAGCACCCGCGGUAAU